rnacentral:lncRNA from 1 species
UCGAACUUCAGUACAAACCCUAAUCAACAUCCAUUGCUCUUCCUUUCUACUAUGCUAGCAUCUCAGUCACACCGAUCUUUACAUGCACAAAUCACCUCUAAAUGAUGCACAAAAAAAAUUGCAACAUGAAGGAGAGAUACAAAUCAUCGAAGGCGCAAAUGAUCAGAUAUCUCCCCUCCAAUGAUGCAUCCCGGAUGACGGAAAGUUACUGCAAAUCUGGUCAGCAAUCCCCCAAACAUUUCAUGAGUCCCAAAAAAAAUAAAAAAAUCUACCACAUACCCACA